UAGAGAUAUAAAAAGAACUAUAAAAUCCACUAAGGGGAAGUGACACACAGGGUCAAAUUCAAGCACAGGGAACAGGUUCAUGGAGAGAUGGUUGCUCUGCUUCUCUACACUACUCCAUUACAGUGGAGCCACAGCAACAGGGUCCUCCACAGCGUCCCAGGGAUUCCCACGCCAGCCAUGGUGAUAAGUCCACCUGCAGCCAGCACUGGGGAUGGGGCUGUUGCCCUGUCUCAGGUGCCGGUUGCUCCGAAGUGACACCCCCGAAGACAAGGCGGCUGCAGGCCUACUGUGAGUUGUUGUUCCAAGCUUUAGAGAUCUCCUGGAGUUCUGUACAAAUGCCACCUAAUGCACACAGCACAGCAAUGCCGCUGGAGGAAGGAGACAACAGUUACCUCCGUGAGGGGUGCCAAGCAGCCUCAGACUGGCCCAAUGGGAGCUCCCUCCCCACUUCCAUGAAAGAAAGCAGUCGGUCCAGCACACACAGAUGGGUUGUGUCAGUAAUAUUUACUAUUAGACAAGCUGUGUUUCCUAAACAAAAGCCUAUAUUGCAUUAAUUUUUUUAAAGCAGAAGCACAGGAAUACUGCAAGAUUGUAUGACAUCGUGACAGUUCAGAAGCAAAUUGGUGUACCUACCCUUCUGCAAACUGAUUUCAAUGCAUCUUUCAAAAAAUUCCUUCAAAAUCUGUCUUAUAAAUAAUGUGUUGUGGGUUUUUAAGAUUCUAGAGCACCCAGAAUCCAAAACCUUGAAAGUGUAUCCCUACACCUUCAAAAUCAAAUUAAAUCUACUUAAUGCUUUAUUUUUCAGAGGGUUUUGGUAAAUCCAGUGCUAAGGUCUGAAUGUAUCCUCCAAAACUCAUGUUGAAAUUGACAUGUCAUUGUGAUACAUUAAGAGGUGGGACGUUCAAGAGGUGAUUAGAUCAUGGGGCACUGCCCUCCUUAGUUAAGCUGUGGGACAGUUAUCAUGGGAGUGGUUAGUUACACAGGAGAGGGUUAGUUAUCACAGGGGUGGGUUAGUUGUAUGAGGAGUGUGUUAGUUACCAUAGGAGAGGUUUAGUUAUCAGAGGAGUAUGUCAGUUGUCACAGGAGAGGGUUAGUUAUCACAGUCAUGAGUUAGUUAUCAGAGAAGGGUGUUAAUUAUCACAGGAGAGGUUUAGUUAUUAGAGGAAUGUGUUAAUUAUCACAGGAGGGGGUUAGUUGUCACAGGAGAAGGUUAAUUAUCACAGGGGUGGGUUAGCUGUCAUGGAAGAGGGUUAGUUAUCACAGGAGUGGGUUAGUUGUCAAAGGUGAAGGUUACAUUAUCACAGGAGUGGGCUAGCUGUCACGGGAGAGAAUUAGCUACCAGGGAAGAGGAUUAGUCAGGCCAGGGAAGCGUUGGGCCUCCCUUUCCCUCUCGAUGUUCUCUCUACGUGUUGAGGAGAACAGAGGCCUGUGUUGGGCACGGCCUCUCCAUCUUGGACUUCUCAGUCUCCAGAACCAUGAGCCGAAUAAACUUCUGUUGUUGAUUUUUAUCCAGGAGGCGCUGUUCUGUUAUAGCAUCAGAAAAUGGGCUAAGACAUUAAGUGAAAUGCAUUUGGGGUGCAGUUAAGUCCACUCCAAUCAAUACUCUAGUUCAAUUUGAUACAU